UUUGUCACACAAAGACAACAGGUGUAGACUUUACCGUGAAAUACUUACUUACGAGCCCUUUCCCAGCAAUGCAGAAUUAAAAAGUAAGAAAAGAUUAGCAAAAAAAAAAUGAACUAGUAACACAAUAAAAUAACAAUAAUAGCUUGUGUACAUUAGUACUCUGUGCCGCUUGCCACUCCGGCCGCCCAGAGUGGCUCACUUGUGGGUGUGCUGGCAGCAUAUAGCAGCACGUUCGACUGUGCGUCAAGAAUUCAGCAUAGCAAGUUUGUAUGAAGGUCUGGUUGGUAAAUAGUUUAAUCCAUUCUUUAUUUCAUGAAUUUAUUCACAGGUAAAUAGUAAUAUGCUCUAAACCUGUAACGGUUCUCGUCUGUCGAAGGAGAAGCGGACCAAAAUGCAGCGUGGUGGUUAUUCAUGUUCUUUAAUAAAAUUAACUAGACAUGAAAUAACUAAACAAAACAAUAAAUGUGUGAAAACCUAUACAGCCUAUCUGGUGACUUUAAACACAGAGACAGGAACAAUCACCCACGAAAUACUCAAAGAAUAUGGCUGCCUAAUUAUGGUUCCCAAUCAGAGACAACGAUAAACACCUGCCUCUGAUUGAGAACCACUCCAGACAGCCAUAGACUAUGCUAGAUACCCCCACUAAGCCACACACCCAACACAAUAAACCCAUGUCACACCCCGGCCUGACCAAAUAAAUAAAGACAAACACAAUAUACUACGGCCAGGGCGUGACAAAACCGCUCUGGUGACAAACAAACUUUGCUGUCCUGUUUCCAAUCGUUCACAUGGCUGGGAGAGCCUAUUCAAGUAAGUAAAUACAGUAAAAAAAUGUGCUUUUUAAACAAUGUAUUAUUAGCUAACUAGCUAUAGUGCAGGCUAACUCAAAUUAACUGCUAACGUAGCAGUUAGCUAUCUAGCCAACUUUACAUACUGUGUAGCUAAGUUAAUUAAAUAUCACCAGCUACCUAACUUAAUUUUAGCUAGGUGUCUUGAUGCAUUUAUCAUUGUAAAAACAAACUCCAAAUGCAUUUGUAGGUAGCUAGGUAACAGCCAUUGAGAAGGGUGAAAGGACAGCAGCCCCAAUUGUCAAAGUGAGAGAGUAGGCUAUUCUGGAUAGGCAGGUACUUUUGUGUCGUUCCAGUCCCUAGAAGUGAGAACAGAGAUAUAGUAACAUAAUAUUCAGUGCUGUCUAAUUUGAGUAAAAUGAAGUAUGUUUAUUGCAAUGUUUUAUGCCCUCAUAUACAGAGAGCUUUGAAAGCCUGUCUGCAGAUGAAGAGGUCCCAAUGAAGAGCAGUGGUUCUCAGUCCUGGUCCUGGGGACUCAGAGGGGUGCACAUUUGAGUUUUUAGCUUAGCACUACAGAGCGGAUUCAAAUGAUCAACUCAUCAUCAAGCUUCAAGUGGUAUUUAUGUACAGUUGAAGUCGGAAGUUUGCAUAUACUUAGGUUGGAGUCAUUAAAACUCGUUUUUCAACCACCACAAAUUUCUUGUUAACAAACUAUAGUUUUGGCAAGUCGGUUAGGACACAUACUUUGUGCAUGACACAAGUCAUUUUUCCAACAAUUGUUUACAGACAGAUAAUUUCACUUGUAAUUCACUGUAUCACAAUUCCAGUGGGUCAGAAGUUUACAUAAACUAAAUUUCCAAGCUGCCUUUAAACAGCUUGGAAAAUUCCAUAAAAUUAUGUCAUGGCUUUAGAAGCUUCUGAUAGGCUAAUUGACAUCAUUUGAGUCAAUUGGAGGUGCACCUGUACAUGUAUUUCAAGGCCUACCUUCACACUCAGUGCCUCUUUGCUUGACAUCAUGGGAAAAUCUAAAAAAAUCAGCCAAGACCUCAGAUAAAAAAUUGUAGACCUCCACAAGUCUGGUUCAUCCUUGGGAACAGUUUCCAAACACCUGAAGGUACCACAUUCAUCUGUACAAACAAUAGUACGCAAGUAUAAACACCAUGGGACCACGCAGCCGUCAUACCGCUUAGGAAAGAGACACGCUCUGUCUCCUAGAGAUGAAUGUACUUUGGUGCAAAAAGUGCAAAUCAAUCCCAGAACAACAGCAAAGGACCUUGUGUAGAUGCUGGAGGAAACAGGUACAAAAGUAUAUAUAUACACAGUAAAACGAGUCCUGUAUCAACAUAACCUGAAAGGCCGCUCAGCAAGGAAGUAAGAAGUCACUGUUUCUAAAACCACCAUAAAGCCAGACUACGGUUUACAACUGCACAUGGGGACAAAGAUCAUACUUUUUGGAGUCCUCUGGUCUGAUGAAACAGAAGUAGAACUGUUUAGCCAUAAUGGCCAUCGUUAUGUUUUCAGGGAAAAGGGGGAGGCUUGCAAGCCGGAGAACACCAUCCCAACCGUGAAGCACGGGGGUGGCAGCAUCAUGUUGUGGGAGUGCUUUGCUGCAGGAAGGGACUGGUGCACAUCACAAAAUAGAUGGCAUCACGAGGCAAGAAAAGUAUGUGGAUAUAUUGAAGCAACAUCUCAAGACAUCAGUCAGGAAGUUAAAGCUUAGUCACAAAUGGGUCUUCUAAAUGGACAAUGACCCCAAGCAUACUUCCAAAGUUGUGGCAAAAUGGCUUAAGGACAACAAAGUUAAGGUAUUGGAUUGGCCAACACAAAGCCCUGACCUCAAUCCCAUAGAAAAUUUGUGGGCAGAACUGAGAAAGCGUGAAUGAGCAAGGAGGCCUACAAACCCGACUCCGUUACACCAGCUCUGUCAGGAGGAAUGAGACAAAAUUCUCCCAACUUAUUAUGGGAUGCUUGUGGAAGGCUACCCAAAAUGUUUGACCCAAGUUAAAUAAUUUAAAGGCAAUGCUACCAAAUACUAAUUGAGUGUAUGUAAACUUCUGACCCACUGGGAAUGUGACUGAAAUAAAUCUUUCUCUCUACUUUUAUUCUGACAUUUCACAUUCUUAAAAUAAAGUGGUGAUCCUAACUGACCUAAGACAGGGAAUUUUUACUAUGAUUAAAUGUCAGCAAUUGUGAAAAACGGAGUUUAAAUGUAUUUGGCUCAGGUGUAUGUAAACUUCCGACUUCAACUGUAUUAUUAUUUCUGAUGCUAACCUUGAUAUGAUCCUGCUAUUGUUUGCUACACAUGCCCAUGUGUGUGCACAUGCAUCUGUCUAUCCAAUGUUAUCAUGGUUUCUUAUAAGAUAUAUUAUACUUUAGAAAUCCACAAUGACCUGGGGAUGUCAAAGUCUAAUAUUGACUAUCUUCCAUAUUCCUACAGAUACCUUGCACCUGGAGAUUCCUUCAAAACAAUUUGGUUACCAGGGCCUACCUGUGUCCUGCAGAACUUCAUGAGGAUGUAGAUGAGGACCAGGAGGGGAUCUGCAUGAUUUUUCAAGGAUGGGCGCUAACAGCACAGGAGUCAAUCCGUGUGCGGGAGAUCUUCACUUCCUACUUCUUCGAAGAGGGUGCUGUUCCUUGGCAACACCAAAGACUCGACGAUGCACAACCAAAGGCUCUUAAGAGCCAUCCACAUUGCAAUAAGUGUAUUCUUCCAUUUACUUCGCUAUGUCAACUGCAUUUAUUCAAUUCACAGUUUAGGUGAGGGUAAUGUCUGUACAAAAACAGAACAGGCUCCUUUAAGAGUCACCCAUAUUGAAAUAGAAGAACAAUUAGACACCCUAUAACCCACAGCUACACACUCGUGUAUCAAUCGGAUUGAUGGAUUGUGUUGUGCAGUAAGCAGGCUCAGGUGUAUAACUGUGGCUCCUUCAACCUUCAAAGAACAGGCAAGAGGGCCAACCAUGGAGAAUAUUAAGACAUGGUCAUUAUUUCUAUUUAUGUAGAAAAUAAUGUAGAAAACGAUAUAUUGUUUGUCAUCGUGUGUCUGUAUGUUUUUCAGUAUAAAGUACUUUUCAGCCACUUAGUGUGGACAACGGGUGAGACGACACACAGAUUCCUGUUGAACACUGUCUCUUCAACUACUUUAUUUUCUCAAUAACUGUCUCUCUCCUUCACUUCCUCCCUCUUCCCCCCUUCUGCCUAAAUCCUCUAGGUUAUAUCAGCUGUGUCGGUGUACCCCUACCGCAUCUGAACUGGCUACAUAGAGGGCACAGUAUGAUCAGAGGUAUGUCUUGAUGUGAGAGAGGAUGCCAACCCCCAGUCCCAUCAUCGCCACCUCACCCGCUCGGGCCAACUGGGGAGACACCACGAGAGACACUAUUAUACAAUUGUGAUGAACUGAGAGAAUAUUACAUUUAGUCACACUGUAAUUCAUGAAUCAUAUGCUGUCAUCCCUGCUCCUCUUUUCCUUUCUGUCUUCUACACUUUUUCUCACAGCUCUCUCCUCAUCUCCUCUUUAUCCCUCUGUUUUUAUCAUGCACACCAGAUGUGCAUUGAACAACAGAUUGAACUUCUAUUUAUAAUAUAAGAUUACAAUUAUAAUAUUUAUAAUGCAUGUAUUAUGUAUUUAUAACACUUGGAUAACUUCUUUCAAUAAAGCCUUUCACAUUCUA